rnacentral:rRNA from 1 species
AUGAACGCUGGCGGCGUGCCUAAUACCUGCAAGUCGAGCGAACAGACGAGGAGCUUGCUCCUCUGACGUUCGCGGCGGACGGGUGAGUAACACGUGGAUAACCUACCUAUAAGACUGGGAUAACUUCGGGAAACCGGAGCUAAUACCGGAUAAUAUAUUGAACCGCAUGGUUCAAUAGUGAAAGACGGUUUUGCUGUCACUUAUAGAUGGAUCCGCGCCGCAUUAGCUAGUUGGUAAGGUAACGGCUUACCAAGGCGACGAUGCGUAGCCGACCUGAGAGGGUGAUCGGCCACACUGGAACUGAGACACGGUCCAGACUCCUACGGGAGGCAGCAGUAGGGAAUCUUCCGCAAUGGGCGAAAGCCUGACGGAGCAACGCCGCGUGAGUGAUGAAGGUCUUCGGAUCGUAAAACUCUGUUAUUAGGGAAGAACAAAUGUGUAAGUAACUAUGCACGUCUUGACGGUACCUAAUCAGAAAGCCACGGCUAACUACGUG